UACAGAGGGUGCGAGCGUUGUCCGGAAUCACUGGGCGUAAAGGGCGCGUAGGCGGCUUGAUAAGCGUGCGGUGAAAGCCCGGAGCUCAACUCCGGGUCGGCCGUCGAUACUUCCGGGCUUGAGCACUGUAGAGGCAGAUGGAAUUCCGGGUGUAGCGGUGGAAUGCGUAGAGAUCCGGAAGAACACCGGUGGCGAAGGCGGUUCUCUGGGCAUUACCUGACGCUGAGGAGCGAAAGUGUGGGGAGCGAACAGG
rnacentral:rRNA from 1 species